GGAAAGUCCCCGUGCCUUGGUGCAGAGAGUGCGUGUGGGAGACCGCAGGGCCCUUGCCGAACCGCCAGUGGUGAUGCUUCUCGCGGAGCCGUGGUGGCGGGUGUGGGUCCUUCGCAGCAGCACAGACAUGCCGUGAGCGCUUGCUCCAUGAUUGCCAUGCUCAUGCCCCCUCCCAUGAAGGGAGCGCCAACAGCAACGGGGCUCACUCUCC
rnacentral:RNase_MRP_RNA from 1 species